rnacentral:rRNA from 1 species
UACGAAGGGGGCUAGCGUUGCUCGGAAUCACUGGGCGUAAAAGCGCACGUAGGCGGCUUUCUAAGUCAGGGGUGAAAUCCUGGAGCUCAACUCCAGAACUGCCUUUGAUACUGGAGAGCUUGAGUCCGGAAGAGGUGAGUGGAACUUCCGAGUGUAGAGGUGAAAUUCGUAGAUAUUCGGAAGAACACCAGUGGCGAAGGCGGCUCACUGGUCCGGUACUGACGCUGAGGUGCGAAAGCGUGGGGAGCAAACAGGG